GAUACUUUACUUAAAUGGUUAGGCAGCUGGCUUUAUAAGUCAGAGGUUGCAGGUUCAAUUCCCAGGUAGGG